GAAAGCAGUUGUCAACAAUGGCAUGUGGGACCAAAUUAGAGUGGAUCAUGGCAGGGAGUUUUACUUGACCCUGUACAUGCAAGAAAAGCUGUCUCAACACAUACAUAACAUCAACAGGCUGCCUUAUGUACAGACAACUUCUUCAAGGAACCUUCGUGUGGAAAGAAUUUGGCUAGAGGUCAACAAUCGGGUGAGCUAUCCACUAAAACAGGCCCUGGUUCACCUGCUUGAUCAACAGCUGCUUGACAUCCAGGAUAAUGUAACCAAAUUUUGUGUCUCCAACCUUGCAUGUCAAGUGAGUCAGAUUGGACUUGGCAGGGUUGUACAGUCAUGGAAUGCCCAUAGGAUACCAGGCAGAGGGAUACCAAACCAAC